UCCCUGGUGGUCCAGUGGCUAACAAUCUGCACUCCCAAUGCAGGGGAUCCAGGUUCAAUCCCUGGCCAGGGAA
rnacentral:tRNA from 1 species